UACGUAGGGUGCAGCGUUAAUCGGAAUUACUGGGCGUAAAGCGUGCGCAGGCGGUCUGCUAAGAGAGGUGUGAAAUCCCCGGGCUUAACCUGGGAACUGCGCUUCUAACUGGCAGGCUUGAGUGUGGCAGAGGGGGGUGGAUUCCACGUGUAGCAGUGAAAUGCGUAGAUAUCGUAAGGAAGACCAGUGGCGAAGGAGACCAGGG
rnacentral:rRNA from 1 species